rnacentral:tRNA from 1 species
CGGGAAUCGCCUUUGGUAACGGCUGGAUGCUCCCUGGCCUUGGUUCGGGACCAAGGGGUCGCAGGUUCAAAUCCUGUCUCCCCGACCA